ACCUCCGCUCGCAGACCUGCUGCGGCUCUGCGGGCUCGGGGCUGACAGCCGGCAGCACAGGCCGGGCGUGCAGCUCCCAAAAGCUCGGAGCCGGCUGCCUGCCCGCCAGCCUCCCCAGCAUCCUCCCCAGCCCCAGCUGCCUGCGGCUGCCUCCCUGCCGGGAAGCCCCUCGCAGCUGCAGGACCCUCCCCAGACCGUGCGUGCGGGCAGCGAGGUGCAGAGACGUGCAGCGAGGUGCAGCGACCAGCCCCAGCCUGCUGCAGCGUUUGCUGCUCCUUAGACAACCUCGUUUACUCCACUGAAGCUCCCCGGUUGAUUUAAUUAAUGCAAAUUGAGACUUGUGUCGAAACCUCCUUUUAAUUACCAUAGCAAUUACUGGAGCUUUUGUUGUCGUUGUUGUUGUUAUUUUUUUUUUUUUUUCAUUUUUUCUCGUGUUUUUAAGGGAAAUAGUAAGGCCUGAAUUCACAAUAGCUUCCGAAGGCGUGCAGCCCUGCAGGCUGAGCUCCGUGUGUGCCGGCGAGACCCGCACGAGCUCUGGCAGAGGAGCUCGGUGGCCGGCUGCGAGCUGCGGCAGCAGCCCCGACGAGCAGCAGGGAUGCAGGUGCCCCGCUCCUAACCCAGACCCAGCAGCACCCGCUUGAGCAGAAUUCCUGGGAUUCCGCCGAUUGGACUUUUGUCAGGCAGCAGCACAUAGGUGCCAGCACCACGUCGAUAGGCAAGCGGCCGAGAGGAGACAGAUCUGCUGGAGGUUAACACAAAGCCUGAAAAACAUGGACAGGAAAAAACCUUGCAGCCCCUCUUUCUACCUCUGAGAGCAAUUUUCUUUUCAAUUACCGUCUCCUCUAGCAGGUUAUUUAUUAUGGGAGUAUGGUUAUGGCUGACUCAGGUCAGUGUAUUGGAUUUCUGGCUUUAAAUUGAACUUUACUAUCGCAGUGCCUGUUACCAGUCUCAGCAAUGCACUUGCUGCUCGUAUUACUUACAAAGGCGCUUUACAAUGUUCUCUGACUAACAAAUAAGCUGUCAGUCCGUCCACCGUGGGUGCUUAAGGGUGGCAAUUUUAUACUCAGAAAGCGCAUUUCCUUAUUAGAGAUUAAAUAUUUUUGCAAGUUAAAAGAGCUGCCGUGGGCUGAGUUGUCACCUAAUUCUGUCAGUCUCUUUGUGGGGUAUUGUGAUAAGCACAUCAGAGGAGACUCUUUAAUCUUCGUGCUAAAUCUGAUCACGCCACGGCCUAAAUUCACACGUACAAGGAGUCCUCGGGAUGAGGCCUUGACUUAUCUGUUUCUCUGGGAGCGGAGUGUGUUGAGACGAAGCCGAGGGGUCUUGUGCUUUGUCUGUGCUGGGAGCAAGCCUCACUUGAGCCAGCAGCGAGCAGUUGCUGUGACCGGCACGAGGGCAGCGAUUUUAUGCGGGUGCAGUUAUCACUGGCUCGCAAGCACGGCAGCCACUGGCCCUGAGAACGGCUCAAAUCCCCAGUCUGUAAAGCCUUCGCUGCUUCCCGCUCUGGGAAUAUCUCCUGCAGGUUCUGCUGUGGUCCUUUAUUGUCCCAAGAUGCACAAAUUCGUCUGAUUCAUCUGGCUGAUCUGGUUAGAUUUGGGCUUCAAACAGUGUGUUCCUUCUUGAGCCUUUUUUUUUUCGGGUUAAAUAGUGGCAUUUUGGAGGAAAUUUCUCAUAAUGAUGCUUGUUCUUUUUUUGGAAAAAAUGGAAUUAGAGCAAAAAGCUCUUCUUGGUGAUGAGGAGCCCAGGAGACUAAAGCUACUGCAGCCACACGCUGCUAGGCUUGCCGAAAGAAGAGUCUGUUUAGAAUCCCAGUAAAAGUGUUGAUAAACACAAAUCAAAUGCAAAUUAAAUAAAGCCUUUCAUACACUCCAUUCUCAUUGAGAUCUGACAAAAAUAAAUUCCACAUAAACAAGCGGGUCUUAUGAAAUGUUCCAAAAAUAAAAACCCUCUUGCAAUGAGGCCAAAAAUGAGAUCGCCUCCAUGCAUUUCCAGCUGCUAAGGGCUGUUAUUCCUCUUUGUAUUACAGCAGUGCUCAAAGAUUUUGGCUUAAAUUGAAACCAAUGGUGGCAGGUGUUGUAAAGAGGUUAGUAAAGAGUCUCCGUGUAAGCAACACAGAAUGGAAAAUGUCAGAGCUGAGAACAGAUCCCAAGUCUGAUUCCCAGCACAUUGCCUCUUACAUAUGAGAGCUCUUAUCUGAAAUAAAUGAUUUUGGCUGUAAAGCUGGUCUGCAAAGGAAGGUAAGUUACAUUCACGUCUUUCUCUCUUUUUUCUUUUUUUUUUUCUCCCUGCGAGAAGCCCAGGAAAUAAGAUGGAAAGCACUGAGAACAGCCCCUGCAUGACUGUAGUUAUAUCUCAGUCUGCAUCCCUUCUUCAGAAGCUGAAAAUGAUGUUUCAUCAUCAUCUCUCCAGGGGAUGAGGAGUGAUUAAAGGCAGUCACAUAGGUACCAAACAAAAAGCCCCAAGCCCAGGAAGAUUUAUUUCCUUCGGGAAAUCCUGAGAUCAUCCCAGGAUAAGCUCACUGAUUUUACUAAAAAACAUUAAUAUUAAAGCAUCCAACACACUGUUGAUCUACAUGGAUGAUAAUUAAUGAAUGAUAAAGCAAAACACAAGCUGAUGACAUGAUCUCUUGGCUUCUUUGUCUUCCAGCACCAUUUAAUGCAAUUUAAUCCAAGCACUCAAGAUGUUUCAUUUAAAAACACGUGUUGUGUGUGAUAUCAAUGCGUAUACUGCUGUUUUUGAGCCAGGAACCCUGUAAAUGUAUCAGGCGUGAUCCUGAAUGGCCAAGCAGGCAAACCAUUUUGAAUCUGAAGUCUCCUCCACCCUACAAAAGCUCUACCAUGCUGCUGGAAAAUGGCUCUUCCCAUGCCCAGCCAGCCACUCCGACAGCAACCUCUCCCAACUCUAGCAGCUCGGCGGCUGGAUGUGGUUUCCAUGGAAAUAGACGUCAGAUCAGCAAAAAACAGGGCAAAUGUUUAAAAUAAUCUCUGUUUUGAAAGCUUUACAUAUUUCUGUCACAAUAUUAACCUUCCUUAAGGUAGGAUUUUUUUUUUUUUUUUGGUGCAAAAUCCGUGUUUUUAAGAUUGUGCACAAGAAGGGUGGGUCCCCUCGGAAAAGUCCUUUCUUUGGUAUUUUGGGUACAAAGACUGCUCUGCUGGGCUUGUGUUGUAGCAGAAGAUUUGUGCUUUUCUCUGGCCAUCUGCCUUUUAUGUGUAUUGACUCUUGGUGUUAACUCAAGUGACUGCAGCAUGAGAACUACCGCAGCAAUUGUACACGAGUACUUUGUACAGAACAUGCAAAAAUGCAGCCAGUUCAUUUAAAACACAUUUGUGAGCAAGCCACUUAUCUAUGCAUGGUAAUGGCGUUACCUCAGGAAGGGAACUGCUCAUAAUGCAGCCCGUAGGAUAAGGGAGGAUCCUCUAUAUGCAGCCAUUGCACAUUGUGUAUCAUGGAAAUUGUGUUAUGAAGACAAUUGUGGCUUUUCUGGACCUGCUGGUGUCACCUCAUAGGAGAGGGUGGCCAGGUGGCCAACCAAAAAUGUCAUUUGUUUGGGUGGCUACCCAAAAACUUAUCCCAAAACGUCAUUCCAGGGGCUGUGGGGGCCAACGCAUUGCCAGACCCAGAUCCUGUGGGGUCAGCCUGUGGUGGCUGCGGCCCGGAGGUGCACAAAGGUACACAGUGCUUAUCUUGGUGAUGUGACCAAGAGCCCCGAGGUGACCAUGGCCCUGAGAUGACCAAAGACGCUGAGACAACUGGCUGGCCUUGAGGUGACCAAGGCUCCUCAGGUGGCCAUGGCUCUGCAGCGACCAAGGGCCCUGAGGUGAGAGGCUGUGGGCCUGAGGUAGCCAUGGCCCUGAGUAAAGUGUUCCUGAGGUUGGUGGCCGUCCCUGAGGUGUAAGUGGCCAUCCCUGAGGUAAGCGUUCCUGAGGUAGGUGGCCAUCCCUGAGGUAUAAGAGGCCAUCUCUGAGGUAAGUGUUCCUGAGGUACAAGUGGCCAUCCCUGAGGGAGGUGACCAUCCCUGAGGUACAGGUGGCCAUCCCUGAGGUAAAUAUUCCUGAGGUGUAAGUGGCCAUCCCGGAGGCAGGUAGCACUGAGGUAAGCUGCCAUCCCUGAGGCAGCCACCCCGUCACGGCUACAUUCCCCCGAGGGGCAGGGCGACCCGCGCCGCGCGGGGCCCCCGCUCCUCCCCAGCACCGGGGUGGCAGACAAAGGGAGUCCCACCGCCCUCAAGGAGCGGCAGGAGAGCGCCCCGCAGAGCCGCGCAGC